AGGAAGAUCAUUGAAAUUGAUUGCUUAAACAAAAGGAAUAAUUCCAAUGAAUCUAAAAUAUUUAUUAAAGAAAAUUUAGGCUUAUAAACUUAUACAUACAAAGUAAAUUGGUUAGUUCAUAAAUAAAAAUAUUGUGAUUAAACUAGUAGAUUGUACAAGCCCAUUUUUGCCCGGGCCCAUAUCAGAAAAUAAACCAAAUUACAAACAGCCCAUUUUCAAAAUUUUGACCCAAUUACAAGCCCAAAAUCCCCAUGGCCCAAUCAAAUUAACCCAGGCCCAAUACAAUUACAAGCCCAAAACCCAUUUUCAAAAUAAAAGAAAGAAACAGAAAAACCCUAGCUCUAGGUGCGCCGCACCUAGGGCCUUCUGACUCUUCCGAUCCUUGACCUACCAACUGCCACUGCCGCGCGUUUGUCACCGCCAUUGUCCCAUCACCGACGCAUGUCAAUCACCUACAGAAGAAAGAUCAACACGCAAACAGCAAAAAUAAUAGGAAAAAUAGAAAACAAACCGGCUAUAAAAAGCCGAAUUCCCUUCUGUAGUUUCUUCCUUUUUUACAACAAUUAAUGAAAGGAGAUAAAAAAAAAACUAAAAAGGUUGAUUCCAAAGUUCUUUUUUGCCUCUGCUCUUACUCUUUUAUUUCUAUCUCCUGUUGUUUGUUUUUUUUACUAUUCUUCUAAACUAAAAAAACAAAACGAAAAGAAAGGAAAAGGGACACUUACUGGUCUUGAAAGCCCGUCGCCGGAGACCACCUUCGGCGUUGGAAUCGGACUGAAAAGGGGGUAGGAAAAACCCCUCCUUUUUCGUUUUUUCGGGACUAAAUGGGUAGAUCUUUAGGGGGGUCGAGAAUGGCGUUAAAAACCCACCUUUUCUUGCCAAGGCCACCUCUCACGGCGGAGCCCCGGCGUUGGUAGCCGGCUGUGGUAUCUGACGGAAAAGGGGAAAGAGAACAGAGAGUUCUCUGUUGUUUUUUUAAAUGUAAUGAAAAUAUUUUUUUUUCUUUAUUUUUUGCUAUUUAUGCAGGCCAUCAUAUGGCGCCAUUUUGGGCUUAAGUUUUAUGACCAAAACGACGCCGUUUCGCCUAAUAACCGAAACCCGACCCGAUGGCCCCCAGGAUUCGCGCGUUUCUGCGGUGAAGGGGAUAUUUGCGCAUAUUUCCCUUUCGCUUUUGUGUGGCUUUGCAAUUUGGUCCUGAAAUCCUUUUUUUUUCUUUACAUUUUGCGGUACAAUUUUAUUUUUUGUUUCAUAUUGGUCCAGAUGUAAACGGUGCGUUUUAAAGGACUGGGAAUAAUUUCCCAUGUAGUCCUCAUUUUAUUCCACCGUAUUUCUGUUGGCCUUUUCUUCUUUUCUUUAUUUGCAAUUUAUACUUUUAAAUUUCAUUAAGAUUUCGAUGCGGUCCCUUUCAUAUUUAUUUCAUUCAUUUUAUUAUAAUUUAGACUUCAAAGUUUAUUUUAAUCUCAAUUUGAUCCUUUAUCCAUUUAAUUUUAAGUUAAUUUUAUCUAUUUAUGCCUUUUUGUCCUGUUUUAUUUAUUUAGUUAUCCC
rnacentral:lncRNA from 1 species